AAUUUUGUACUUAUAAUUUUUUAUUAUUAAUAAAGAGUUUUUUCAUUCCAAUCAUGUUUAUGUGUCCAUGAUUUAUCUUAGAAAUUAACAAAUAUGAUUUUUAUAUAUUCUCAAUGUGUUAAGAAUUUGAGACAUACAUUAAUUAGUGGUUAAUUUCUAAAUAUUUUCGAUCAAAAGAUCAUCACAGAGGAUAGUGAUCAAUACAUUCG
rnacentral:lncRNA from 1 species